GUGUGCUCACGAACUGCGGUUUCGAAAGUUGGCGGUUGGCGCUCUGCUGCGUAGCUGCAUCUUCCUAUCUUCGUCUCGGCUUCAGGCAGACUGAAGGAAAACGUACAAGCGCAAGAAAUGGGCCGCUCCACGCCUUUAGCCUGUGUGGAACACCAGGGCAACCAUAUCAAUAUUAACAGCUAUUUAUUUCCUUGCUACCAUCCUGAGUGAAGGGUGACAUUCGAGACGUUUCAUGCACCUUCAGACCACUGCCAGAGAAAACACCGUAAAAAAAAAGUGUGUCAGUGAAUAUAUUUCCUGGGCAUCAAACCGUCUACGAAAUACAUGAGGUCGAAGAGGAGCCAUGUGAGUGGAUCAGCAGCCAGGGCGCUCUCUUUGUUCAUAAAACUAAA